AAGAAGAAACAAAAAAAAACUAAAAAA
rnacentral:sRNA from 1 species